rnacentral:rRNA from 1 species
UGGGGAAUAUUGGACAAUGGGCGCAAGCCUGAUCCAGCCAUGCCGCGUGAGUGAUGAAGGCCCUAGGGUUGUAAAGCUCUUUCACCGGUGAAGAUAAUGACGGUAACCGGAGAAGAAGCCCCGGCUAACUUCGUGCCAGCAGCCGCGGUAAUACGAAGGGAGCUAGCGUUGUUCGGAUUUACUGGGCGUAAAGCGCACGUAGGCGGACUUUUAAGUCAGGGGUGAAAUCCCGGGGCUCAACCCCGGAACUGCCUUUGAUACUGGAAGUCUUGAGUAUGGUAGAGGUGAGUGGAAUUCCGAGUGUAGAGGUGAAAUUCGUAGAUAUUCGGAGGAACACCAGUGGCGAAGGCGGCUCACUGGACCAUUACUGACGCUGAGGUGCGAAAGCGUGGGGAGCAAACAGG